AUUGAACGCUGGCGGCAGGCCUAAUACAUGCAAGUAGGACGCAGUUGCGAACGGGUGAGUAACGCGUAGGUAACUACCUAUUAGAGGGGGAUAACUAUUGGAAACGAUAGCUAAUACCGCAUACUAGUAGAUGGACCUGCGUUGUAUUAGCUAGUAGGUAGGGUAAUGGCCUACCUAGGCAACGAUACAUAGCCGAGCUGGAGUGGGGAUCGGCCAAACUGGGACUGGGGAACGGCCCAGACUCCUACGGGGGGCAGCAGUAGGGAAUCUUCGGCAAUGGGGGGAAACCUGACCGAGCAACGCCGCGGGAGUGAAGAAGGGUUUCGGAUCGUAAAGCUCUGUUGUUAAGGAAGCGGUACUUAACCAGAAAGGGACGGCUAACUACGUGCCAGCAGCCGCGGUAAUAC
rnacentral:rRNA from 1 species